rnacentral:rRNA from 1 species
CCUACGGGGGGCAGCAGUGAGGAAUAUUGGUCAAUGGACGAGAGUCUGAACCAGCCAAGUAGCGUGAAGGAUGACUGCCCUAUGGGUUGUAAACUUCUUUUAUAUGGGAAUAAAACGUUCCACGUGUGGGAUUUUGUAUGUACCAUAUGAAUAAGGAUCGGCUAACUCCGUGCCAGCAGCCGCGGUAAUACGGAGGAUCCGAGCGUUAUCCGGAUUUAUUGGGGUUAAAGGGAGCGUAGGUGGAUUGUUAAGUCAGUUGUGAAAGUUUGCGGCUCAACCGUAAAAUUGCAGUUGAAACUGGCAGUCUUGAGUACAGUAGAGGUGGGCGGAAUUCGUGGUGUAGCGGUGAAAUGCUUAGAUAUCACGAAGAACUCCGAUUGCGAAGGCAGUUCACUGGACUGCAACUGACACUGAGGCUCGAAAGUGUGGGUAUCAAACAGGAUUAGAUACCCUUGUAGUC